UACGUAGGGGGCAAGCGUUGUCCGGAUUUAUUGGGCGUAAAGAGCGUGUAGGCGGCUUGGCAAGUCCGCUGUGAAAACUCGAGGCUCAACCUCGAGACGUCGGUGGAAACUGCCUGGCUAGAGUCCGGAAGAGGAGAGUGGAAUUCCUGGUGUAGCGGUGAAAUGCGCAGAUAUCAGGAAGAACACCCGUGGCUAAGGCGGCUCUCUGGAACGGUACUGACGCUGAGACGCGAAAGCGUGGGGAGCGAACAGG
rnacentral:rRNA from 1 species